rfam:Triticum aestivum genome assembly, contig: Triticum_aestivum_CS42_TGACv1_scaffold_432944_5DL
CUCGUGCUCCCUCCGUCUGAAAAAGCUUGUCCCUCAGAUGAAUGUAUCUAGCAUCAAGUUAGCGCUAGAUACAUCUAUUUAAGAGACAAACUUGAGACAAGUUUUUUCGGACGGAGGGGGUAUUAU